ensembl:snRNA Gm24836 U6 spliceosomal RNA
GUGAUUGCUUCAGCAGCACACAUAUUAAAACUUGGAAUGAUACAGAGAAAAUUAGCAUGACCUCUGUGCAAGAGUGAUACACAAACUUGUGAAGUGUUCCAUAUUUAA